rnacentral:rRNA from 1 species
UACGAAGGGGGCUAGCGUUGUUCGGAUUUACUGGGCGUAAAGCGCACGUAGGCGGAUUGGUCAGUUAGGGGUGAAAUCCCAGAGCUCAACUCUGGAACUGCCUUUAAUACUGCCGGUCUUGAGUAUGGAAGAGGUGAGUGGAAUUGCGAGUGUAGAGGUGAAAUUCGUAGAUAUUCGCAGGAACACCAGUGGCGAAGGCGGCUCACUGGUCCAUUACUGACGCUGAGGUGCGAAAGCGUGGGGAGCAAACAGG